rnacentral:rRNA from 1 species
UAGGGAAUAUUGGUCAAUGGGCGAGAGCCUGAACCAGCCAUGCCGCGUGCAGGACGACGGCCUUCUGGGUUGUAAACUGCUUUUAUACAGGAAUAAAAGGGUGCUGCGGCGCCGAUUGCAUGUACUGUAUGAAUAAGCACCGGCUAACUCCGUGCCAGCAGCCGCGGUAAUACGGAGGGUGCGAGCGUUGUCCGGAUUUAUUGGGUUUAAAGGGUGCGUAGGCGGUUUAUUAAGUCAGUGGUGAAAGGCUACAGCUCAACUGUAGGAGUGCCAUUGAUACUGGUAGACUUGAGUUUGGUCGAGGUAGGCGGAAUUUAUGGUGUAGCGGUGAAAUGCAUAGAUACCAUAAAGAACACCGAUAGUGAAGACAGCUUACUAGGCCUGGACUGACACUGAGGCACGAAAGCGUGGGGAGCGAACAGGAUUAGAUACCCGUGUAGUCC